rnacentral:rRNA from 1 species
CCUACGGGAGGCAGCAGUGAGGAAUAUUGGUCAAUGGACGCAAGUCUGAACCAGCCAAGUAGCGUGAAGGAUGACUGCCCUAUGGGUUGUAAACUUCUUUUAUAAAAGGGUAAAACGCGGCACGUGUGCCGUUUUGCAUGUACUUUAUGAAUAAGGAUCGGCUAACUCCGUGCCAGCAGCCGCGGUAAUACGGAGGAUCCGAGCGUUAUCCGGAUUUAUUGGGUUUAAAGGGAGCGUAGAUAGUUUGUUAAGUUAGGGGUGAAAGUUUGAGGCUCAACCGUAAAAUUGCAAUUGAUACUGGUAGACUGGAGAACAGUUGAGGUAGGCGGAAUGUAUGGUGUAGCGGUGAAAUGCUUAGAGAUCAGACAGAACCCCGAUUGCGAAGGCAGCUUACCAAACUGUGACUGACAUUGAGGCUCGAAAGUGUGGGUAUCAAACAGGAUUAGAUACCCGAGUAGUC